GCUGAGGUAAAGUUCCUGAGGUAAGAUUCCUGAGGUAAGAUUCCUGAGGUAAAGUUCCUGAGGUAAGAUUGCUGAGGUAAAGUUCCUGAGGUAAGAUUGCUGAGGUAAGAUUGCUGAGGUAAAGUUCCUGAGGUAAGAUUGCUGAGGUAAAGUUCUUGAGGUAAGAAUGCUGAGGUAAGAAUGCUGAGGUAAGAAUGCUGAGGUAAGAUUGCUGAUGUAAGAUUGCUGAGGUAAAGUUCCUGAGGUAAAGUUCCUGAGGUAAGAUGGCGGUCGGUGUAUGUUUUGAUCACCUGUUUUCCGUGUAAAAACGGAGCAACUUGAAAACUGUCUUUUUUGUUUGUUUAUUUUUUUCAUACGAAACCAAAAAAAAUCUACUUGAUAUUUCGGCAUUCACAUGUGGGUGGGGUUAAAUGUGGAA
ensembl:lncRNA